rnacentral:rRNA from 1 species
UACAGAGGUCCCAAGCGUUGUUCGGAUUCACUGGGCGUAAAGGGUGCGUAGGUGGCCAGGUAAGUUUGGUGUGAAAGCUCGGAGCUUAACUCCGAAAAGUCAUUGAAUACUAUCUGGCUGGAGGGUCGGAGGGAGACUGGAAUUCUCGGUGUAGCAGUGAAAUGCGUAGAUAUCGAGAGGAACACCAGUGGCGAAGGCGAGUCUCUGGACGACUCCUGACACUGAGGCACGAAAGCUAGGGGAGCAAACCAGG